GUAGGUGGCAAGCGUUGUCCGGAAUUAUUGGGGCGUAAAGCGCGCGCAGGCGGUUCUUUAAGUCUGAUGUGAAAGCCCACGGGCUCAACCGUGGAGGGUCAUUGGAAACUGGAGAACUUGAGUACAGAAGAGGAAAGCGGAAUUCCACGUGUAGCGGUGAAAUGCGUAGAGAUGUGGAGGAACACCAGUGGCGAAGGCGGCUUUCUGGUCUGUAACUGACGCUGAGGCGCGAAAGCGUGGGGAGCAAACAGGAUUAGAUACCCUGGUAGCCCACGCCGUAAACGAUGAGUGCUAAGUGUUAGGGGGUUUCCGCCCCUUAGUGCUGCAGCUAACGCAUUAAGCACUCCGCCUGGGGAGUACGGCCGCAAAGGCUG
rnacentral:rRNA from 1 species